rnacentral:lncRNA from 1 species
CCAGAGGAUGGAGGAAUCGUGCAGUAUCCAUCGCAGAAAGUGGAGCAGGAUCAUGGCCAUUAUUGUGGUCUGCCAGGGAGUGAUGGAGCCACAUGGAAUUCAUCGCAGAAAGUGGAGUAGAGUCAUGGCCGUUACUGCAGCCCGUCAUGAAGUGAUGGAGCUGCACAGAAUACGUCGCAGGAAGUGGAGCAGAGUCGUGGCCAUUGCUGCAGCCUGCUAGAGGGUCCAGGCCUGUCGGC